rnacentral:rRNA from 1 species
UACGUAGGGUGCAGGCGUUAAUCGGAAUUACUGGGCGUAAAGCGUGCGCAGGCGGUCUGCUAAGCGAGGUGUGAAAUCCCCGGGCUUAACCUGGGAACUGCGCUUCUAACUGGCAGGCUUGAGUGUGGCAGAGGGGGGUGGAAUUCCACGUGUAGCAGUGAAAUGCGUAGAGAUGUGGAGGAACACCGAUGGCGAAGGCAGCCCCCUGGGCUAACAAUGACGCUCAUGCACGAAAGCGUGGGGAGCAAACAGG